rnacentral:rRNA from 1 species
AACGAACGCUGGCGGCGUGCUUAACACAUGCAAGUCGCGUGCGCAGUUUCCCUGUAGCAAUACAGGGGGAUGGGCGCACGGCGCACGGGUGCGUAACACGUGGGCAAUCUGCCCUCUGAUGGGGAAUAACCCCGCGAAAGCGGGGCUAAUACCGCAUAAAAUUCCUUGGACCAUGGUCUGAGGAUUCAAAGCAGUAAUGCGUCGGAGGAGGAGCCCGCGCCCGAUUAGCUAGUUGGUGAGGUAAUGGCUCACCAAGGCAAUGAUCGGUAGCUGGUCUGAGAGGAUGAUCAGCCACACUGGAACUGAGACACGGUCCAGACUCCUACGGGAGGCAGCAGUGGGGAAUCUUGCACAAUGGGCGAAAGCCUGAUGCAGCGACGCCGCGUGGGGGAUGAAGCUUUUCGGAGUGUAAACCCCUUUCGCCUGGGACGAAUGCCCGCAAGGGAGUGACGGUACCAGGAUAAGAAGCCCCGGCUAACUACGUGCCAGCAGCCGCGGUAAGACGUAGGGGGCCAGCGUUGUUCGGAAUUACUGGGUGUAAAGGGUUCGUAGGCGGUGUGGCAAGUUGGGAGUGAAAUCUCUGGGCUCAACCCAGAGGCUGCUUCCAAAACUGCUGUGCUUGAGUGUGAGAGAGGCUCGUGGAAUUGCAGGUGUAGCGGUGAAAUGCGUAGAUAUCUGCAGGAACACCCGUGGCGAAAGCGGCGAGCUGGAUCACUACUGACGCUGAGGAACGAAAGCUAGGGGAGCAAACAGGAUUAGAUACCCUGGUAGUCCUAGCCCUAAACGAUCAGGACUUGGGGUGCCGCCCGUUCGGGCGUCGUCCCGGAGCUAACGCGUUAAGUCCUGCACCUGGGGAGUACGGUCGCAAGACUG